rnacentral:rRNA from 1 species
GUGGCAAGCGUUGUCCGGAUUUAUUGGGCGUAAAGCGAGUGCAGGCGGUUCCAUAAGUCUGAUGUUGAAGCCUUCUGCUCAAACGGAGAAAUGCAUCAGAAACUGUUGAACUUGAGUGCAGAAGAGGAGAGUGGAACUCCAUGUGUAGCGGUGGAAUGCGUAGAUAUAUGGAAGAACACCAGUGGCGAAGGCGGCUCUCUGGUCUGCAACUGACGCUGAGGCUCGAAAGCAUGGGUAGCGAACA